AAGUAUGACCUGAAAACUGGCGAGUUGUUUGAGGAAAUCAGUGGACUACUCUUACAAAGCGGAUGAUUGGCUGGCGUUACCAGGAGGGGUCUCCAUUUUUCCAAGAAUACUGUGGCACUUUUUAAAAGUAGGAAGAAGGGGAAUCUGCUUCCAGAGUAAAUGGGAGGACAAGGAGGUUGCAGGGAAAAGCCUGAAAAUGCGAUCCAACUGCACUGCAAGGCUCAGAAACCAGAUGCCAAAAAACAAGAAGCCAAACUGUGUUGCCAUUUUUAAAUCUCUGAAGCUUUAAGGCAAUCUAAGCAUGCUCUGGGUCUUCACCCAUGUUUUCUGAGUGUGGAGGGGCUUGGCAGUAAAUAAAGCUUCGCAUUACAAAGAGGCAAAGGCAAAUAAAGUCUUCAGGGAUGCUAAUAUUCUCCAUCUCCCCUCUCUUUCUUGCUUGUUUCUGAUUCUCGUCCUGCAUGUGCUUUGCUUUCCACAUUGUGAGUAGUCACGUUCCUCACAGUGGUAAAGAAAAGCACACAAAUAAAUGUUUUCUGGAACAGAGCAAAUUUUAACUCAAAUCAAAAUUUUACAAACAAAUAAGAUCAAGGUUUUAAACUCUUCCAUCUGUUACUAUGUGCUUGUAGAGUGCAAUGUGCAGCAGGCCAGGGCAUACAGUUUGUGACUCUCAAGGCUACUGUAACACAACAACCAUUACUGAUGCUGAUGCUACUACUACUAAUAAAGUAGAA